rnacentral:rRNA from 1 species
CUGGCGGCGUGCCUUAAUCAUGCGAAUUCUCAGCGAACCGAAUUAAGAGCUUGCUCUUAUCAAGUUAGCGGCGGACGGGUGAGUAACACGUAGGACCUGCCUAUAAGACUGGGAUAACUCCGGGAAACCGGGGCUAAUACCGGAUAACAUUUUGCACCGCAUGGUGCGAAAUUGAAAGGCGCCUUCGGCUGUCACUUAUAAUGGACCUGCGGCGCAUUAGCUAGUUGGUGAGGUAACGGCUCACCAGCGACGAUGCGUAGCCGACCUGAAGGGUGAUCGGCC